rnacentral:rRNA from 1 species
UACGUAGGUGGCAAGCGUUGUCCGGAAUUAUUGGGCGUAAAGCGCGCGCAGGCGGUCCUUUAAGUCUGAUGUGAAAGCCCACGGCUCAACCGUGGAAGUGCCUUUGAUACCGUGAGUCUCGAGGGAGGUAGGGGCGUGCGGAACUUCCGGUGGAGCGGUGAAAUGCGUAGAUAUCGGAAGGAACAUCGGUGGCGAAAGCGGCGCGCUGGACCUCUUCUGACGCUGAGGCGCGAAAGCCAGGGGAGCAAACGGG